GAUGAACGCUGGCGGCGUGCCUAAUACAUGCAAGCCGAGCGAACGGACGAAAAGCUUGCUUCUCUGAUGUUAGCGGCGGCCGGGGGAGUAGCACGUGGACAACCUCUCUUUAAUGCUGGGAGAACUCCGGGGAACCCUAGCUAAUACCGGGUAAUAUUUUGAACCGCGUGGUUCAAAAGUCAUAGACGGUCUUGCUGUCACUUAUACAUGUAUCCGCGCUGCAUUAGCUAGUUGGAAAGGUAACGGCUUACCAAGGCAACGAUGCAUAGCGGACCUGAGAGGGUGAUCGGCCACACUGGAACUGAGACACGGUCCAGACUCCUACGGGAGGCAGCAGUGGGGAAUCUUCGACAAUGGGCGAAAGCCUGACGGAGCAACGCCGCGUGAGUGAUGAAGGUCUUCGGAUCGUAAAACUCUGUUAUUAGGGAAGAACAUAUGUGUAAGUAACUGUGGACAUCUUGACGGUACCUAAUCAGAAAGCAACGGCUAACCUCGUG
rnacentral:rRNA from 1 species